rnacentral:rRNA from 1 species
GAUGAACGCUGGCGGCGUGCCUAAUACAUGCCAGUCGAGCGAACAGACGAGGAGCUUGCUCCUCUGACGUUAGCGGCGGACGGGUGAGUAACACGUGGAUAACCUACCUAUAAGACUGGGAUAACUUCGGGAAACCGGAGCUAAUACCGGAUAAUAUAUUGAACCGCAUGGUUCAAUAGUGAAAGACGGUUUUGCUGUCACUUAUAGAUGGAUCCGCGCCGCAUUAGCUAGUUGGUAAGGUAACGGCUUACCAAGGCAACGAUGCGUAGCCGACCUGAGAGGGUGAUCGGCCACACUGGAACUGAGACACGGUCCAGACUCCUACGGGAGGCGGCAGUAGGGAAUCUUCCGCAAUGGGCGAAAGCCUUACGGAGCAACGCCGCGUGAGUGAUGAAGGUCUUCGGAUCGUAAAACUCUGUUAUUAGGGAAGAACAAAUGUGUAAGUAACUAUGCACGUCUUGACGGUACCUAAUCAGAAAGCCACGGCUAACUACGUG